AGGAUAAACGCUGGCGGCGUGCUUCAGGCAUGCAAGUCGAACGAGCGACCCCGGCUUGCCGGGGAAGCUAGUGGCGGACGGGUGAGUAACACGUAAGCAACCUGCCCAAAAGUGUGGAAUAACCCACCGAAAGGUGAGCUAAUACCGCAUGUGAUGGUUCUUUUCUGAAGGAAUCAUUAAAGGAGUAAUUCGCUUUUGGAGGGCUUGCGGCCGAUUAGCUAGUUGGUGGGUAACGGCCUACCAAGGCGACGAUCGGUAGCUGGUCUGAGAGGACGGACAGCCACGACGGGGACUGGAGAUACGGCCCCCGACUCCGUAACGGGAGGCCAGCAGCGUAAGGAAUCGUUGGGAAUGGGCGAAAGCCUGACCCAGCAACGCCGCGUGGGCGAGUGAACGGCCGUUCGGUACGUAAGUCCCGUUUUGCGAGGGGACGAUAAGUCGACGGUACCC
rnacentral:rRNA from 1 species